rnacentral:rRNA from 1 species
UACGGAGGGUGCAAGCGUUAUCCGGAUUCACUGGGUUUAAAGGGUGCGUAGGUGGAUCGGUAAGUCCGUGGUGAAAUCCCCGAGCUUAACUCGGGAACUGCUGUGGAUACUAUCGAUCUUGAAUAUCGUGGAGGUAAGCGGAAUAUGUCAUGUAGCGGUGAAAUGCUUAGAUAUGACAUAGAACACCAAUUGCGAAGGCAGCUUACUACCCGAAUAUUGACACUGAGGCACGAAAGCGUGGGGAUCAAACAGG